GACGAACGCUGGCGGCGUGCUUAACACAUGCAAGUCGAACGGUGAAGCUCCAGCUUGCUGGGGUGGAUCAGUGGCGAACGGGUGAGUAACACGUGAGCAACCUGCCCCUGACUCUGGAAUAAGCGCUGGAAACGGCGUCUAAUACUGGAUACGAGAAGGGUCCGCAUGGGCACUUUCUGGAAAGUUUUUCGGUUGGGGAUGGGCUCGCGGCCUAUCAGCUUGUUGGUGAGGUAAUGGCUCACCAAGGCGACGACGGGUAGCCGGCCUGAGAGGGCGACCGGCCACACUGGGACUGAGACACGGCCCAGACUCCUACGGGAGGCAGCAGUGGGGAAUAUUGCACAAUGGGCGAAAGCCUGAUGCAGCGACGCCGCGUGAGGGAUGACGGCCUUCGGGUUGUAAACCUCUUUCAGCAGGGAAGAAGCGAAAGUGACGGUACCUGCAGAAGAAGCACCGGCUAACUACGUG
rnacentral:rRNA from 1 species